rnacentral:lncRNA from 10 species
CACAGAUGCAAGGUCUCCUGAUGGCAGAAAACCUUAUAACCAGAGACGGGGUUACUCCGUGUUAGCCAGGAUGGUCUCGAUCUCCUGACCUCGUGAUCCACCUGCCUUGGCCUCCCAAAGUGCUGGGAUUCUGUAAUCCCAGUGAGCCACCGCGCCUGGCCCAUGUUCCAAAGAUCUUAAAGAUGUCCCAGAAAAGUUCUAGAGUACUAUCAGAUCUCACACUUUGCCUUGGAAGCUGUCAUUCCCCUCCAUUGGCCCCACAACUGCAGUAUAAUCUUCAGUGACAGGAGAAAAUCGACCUUGUUUGUACAGAAGUCUCAGCAGGAAUAGGCAGAUGCCUGUUUUUGCUGCCAAGGAUGGAGGAUUGGAAUGGGCCCAUUAUAUAUUUUGAGGCUUUGAAGAAAAGUCUCAGGAUAUGUUUUCCCAUUAAAAUACUGUUAUAAACAAUUAGAUUUAUAGGUUGUUUAAAAUCUCAUUUCAGCCAAUUGUAGUUUUAAAAGUCAUUUGUAAUAGGCACG